rnacentral:rRNA from 1 species
UACGUAGGGGGCUAGCGUUGUCCGGAAUCAUUGGGCGUAAAGAGCGUGUAGGCGGCCCGGUAAGUCCGCUGUGAAAGUCGGGGGCUCAACCUUUGAAUGCCGGUGGAUACUGCAGGGCUAGAGUCCGGAAGAGGCGAGUGGAAUUCCUGGUGUAGCGGUGGAAUGCGCAGAUAUCAGGAGGAACACCAACGGCGAAGGCAGCUCACUGGGACGGUAUUGACGCUGAGACGCGAAAGCGUGGGGAGCAAACAGG